rnacentral:rRNA from 1 species
UAGGGUAUAUUAGUAAUGGGCGAAAGCCUGAACUAGCAACGCCGCGUGUGCGAAGAAGGCCUUCGGGUUGUAAAGCACUUUUUGAGAGGAUGAGGAAGGACGGUACUCUCAGAAUAAGUCUCGGCUAACUACGUGCCAGCAGCCGCGGUAACACGUAGGAGGCGAACGUUAUCCGGAUUUACUGGGCGUAAAGCGCGUGUAGGUGGUUUGGUUAGUAGGGCGUGAAAGCUCCUGGCUCAACUGGGAGAGGCCGUUCUAAACUGCCGAACUAGAGGAUGUAGAGGGAGGUGGAAUUCCGGGUGUAGCGGUGGAAUGCGCAGAUAUCCGGAGGAACACCAGUGGCGAAAGCGGCCUCCUGGACCAUUCCUGACACUCAGACGCGAAAGCUAGGGUAACAAACGG